GACAGAGGAUGCAAGCGUUAUCCGGAAUGAUUGGGCGUAAAGCGUCUGUAGGUGGCUUUUUAAGUCUGCCGUCAAAUCCCAGGGCUUAACCCUGGACAGGCGGUGGAAACUACCAAGCUGGAGUACGGUAGGGGCAGAGGGAAUUUCCGGUGGAGCGGUGAAAUGCGUAGAGAUCAGGGAGAACACCGGUGGCGAAAGCGCUCUGCUGGACCUUAACUGACACUGAGGGACGAAAGCUAGGGGAGCGAAUGGG
rnacentral:rRNA from 1 species